CGUCCCGCCGUGCCCUGGCCUCGGGCGUGGGAGCGGCAGCAGCGGCCGCCCAGCCUGAUGAGCACAGAUUGAAAGAGGGGAAUUUGGGUACUGGAGGCAGCUCUUGGCGGUGAGGGUGGCGAGGCCGCUGGAACAGGAAGGUUGUGAGAGCCCGAGGCCAUGGUGGCGAGUGGAGCCGGGCUGGCAGAAAGUGAAGCUCAAGAUGAGUUUGCUCCUGGCUUUGGGAAUCCUCAGUCUGGACUCUGCCAUGCCUUGCAAGCAGAAAGAUGCCACGUGAAUUCUGGAGCUGCAGAAGUUCUGUGACAUCAGAUGACCACCUCCACUGUCUUCCAGUGUGUGUGCACACUUGUGUGUGUGCACAAAGGGCCAAGAGGAGAGUCUACUCACUUCUAAAAGUGUGGGUUUUUAAGAAGCUUGAAAACAGAAGCCUGGAAUGUGGAGCUCUAAUGCACUUGGAAAUGCUUCUGUUACCAUUCCUGCUCGUCAGAAAUACUGCUUGGUUCCAUCGUAUGGCAGGGGAGUGGCUGUUCACCGAAAAUGAAUAAUCCUGGAAUGAAGUUCGGGAUAGUGUGUCACUCUAGAAAGAGAAGUGGCCUUCUGGGCAGUCUUAGAACUUAUAUGAAUUUUUGAGUGUAUGAAAUAAAUGGAUCAAAAGUGAAUAAAACAAAGAUUAAAACGUGGGA